rnacentral:lncRNA from 1 species
GAUACUAAUUAACAUGGAAUGUUUAGUACUAAUUAGAAGUAUUAAAUAGAGGUUAAUUACAAAAUCAAUUGUACAAAUGAAGGUUAAUUCGCGAGAUGAAUCUAUUAAACCUAAUUAAUCCAUGAUUAGCACAUAUUUAUUGGAAGGCUAAUUCGCGAGACGAAUCUAUUAAGCCUAAUUAGUUCCUGAUUUGACCAUGUGAUGCUACAGUAAAUAUGUGCUAAUCAUUGUAGAUUAUCUCGCGAAUUAGCCACAGUUUAUGCAAUUAGUUUUAUAAUUAACUACUCAAACAUCCUAUGUAACCC